rnacentral:rRNA from 1 species
CGAUGUACACUAGUUGUUGUGAGGCUCGACCUUGCAGUAAUGCAGUUAACACAUUAAGUGUACCGCCUGGGGAGUACGGUCGCAAGAUUAAAACUCAAAGGAAUAGACGGGGACCCGCACAAGCGGUGGAGCAUGUGGUUUAAUUCGACGAUACACGAAGAACCUUACCUGGACUUGACAUAGUAAGAACUUUCUAGAGAUAGAUUGGUGUCUGCUUGCAGAAACUUAUAUACAGGUGCUGCACGGCUGUCGUCAGCUCGUGUCGUGAGAUGUUGGGUUAAGUCCCGCAACGAGCGCAACCCUCGUCGUUAGUUGCUAACAGUUCGGCUGAGAACUCUAGCGAGACUGCCUACGCAAGUAGGAGGAAGGUGAGGACGACGUCAAGUCAUCAUGGCCCUUACGUCCAGGGCUACACACGUGCUACAAUGGGGUAUACAAAGAGCAGCAAUACGGUGACGUGGAGCAAAUCUCAAAAAUAUCUCCCAGUUCGGAUUGUAGUCUGCAACUCGACUACAUGAAGUUGGAAUCGCUAGUAAUCGUAGAUCAGCUAUGCUACGGUGAAUACGUUCCCGGGUCUUGUACUCACCGCCCGUCACACCAUGGGAGUUGAACUCAUUCGAAGCGGGGAUGCUAAAAUAGCUACCUUCCACAGUGGAUUCAGCGACUGGGGUGAAGUCGUAACAAGGUAACC